rnacentral:rRNA from 1 species
GGCUGAAAUUCGCCUUUAUGAAGCCGGAAUUGCUAGUAAUCGCAGGUCAGCAUACUGCGGUGAAUACGUUCCCGGGUCCUUGUACACACCGCCCGUCACACCAUGGGAGCCGGAAAUGCCCGAAGCCAGUGACCCAACCUUAGGGAGGGAGCUGUCGAAGGUGGAGCCGGUAACUGGGGUGAAGUCGUAACAAGGUAUC